rnacentral:rRNA from 1 species
UACGUAGGUGGCAAGCGUUGUCCGGAUUUACUGGGUGUAAAGGGCGUGUAGGCGGAGCUGCAAGUCAGAUGUGAAAUCCCGGGGCUCAACCCCGGAACUGCAUUUGAAACUGUAGCCCUUGAGUAUCGGAGAGGCAGGCGGAAUUCCUAGUGUAGCGGUGAAAUGCGUAGAUGUUAGGAGGAACACCAGUGGCGAAGGCGGCCUGCUGGACGACAACUGACGCUGAGGCGCGAAAGCGUGGGGAGCAAACAGG